GGGAUUGCCCUAGUAACGGCGAGUGAAGCGGCAACAGCUCAAAUUUGAAAGCUGGCUCCGGCCCGCGUUGUAAUUUGCAGAGGAUGCUUCUGGCGAGGUGCCUUCCGAGUUCCCUGGAACGGGACGCCAUAGAGGGUGAGAGCCCCGUAUGGAUGGACACCAAACCUGUGUGAAGCUCCUUCAACGAGUCGAGUAGUUUGGGAAUGCUGCUCUAAAUGGGAGGUAAAUCUCUUCUAAAGCUAAAUACCGGCCAGAGACCGAUAGCGCACAAGUAGAGUGAUCGAAAGAUGAAAAGCACCUUGAAAAGGGGGUUAAACAGUACGUGAAAUUGUUGAAAGGGAAGCGCUUGUGACCAGACUUGCGCCGGGCAGCUCAUCAGGGGUUCUCCCCUGUGCACUCUGCCCGGCUCAGGCCAGCAUCGGUUCUCGUGGGAGGAUAAGAACGGUAGGAACGUGGCCCCCCUCCGGGGGGGUGUUAUAGCCUGCCGUACGAUACUCCCGUGGGGACCGAGGUUCGCGCUCCGCAAGGAUGCUGGCGUAAUGGUCAUCAGCGACCCGUCUUGAAACACGGACCAAGGAGUCGUCCAUUAGAGCGAGCGUUUGGGUGUAAAACCCGCACGCGUAAUGAAAGUGAACGCAGGUGAGAGCUUCGGCGCAUCAUCGACCGAUCCUGAUGUCUUCGGAUGGAUUUGAGUAAGAGUUUUAACGGACGGACCCGAAAGACAGUGAACUAUGCUUGUAUAGGGUGAAGCCAGAGGAAACUCUGGUGGAGGCUCGCAGCGGUUCUGACGUGCAAAUCGAUCGUCAAAUAUGAGCAUGGGGGCGAAAGA
rnacentral:rRNA from 1 species